rnacentral:rRNA from 1 species
UCGGGAAUCUUGGGCAAUGGGCGAAAGCCUGACCCAGCAACGCCGCGUGAGGGAUGAAGUCCUUCGGGAUGUAAACCUCGUAAGCAUGGGAAGAACAAAUGACGGUACCAUGCGUAAGCCCCGGCUAACUACGUGCCAGCAGCCGCGGUAAUACGUAGGGGGCUAGCGUUGUUCGGAUUUACUGGGCGUAAAGCGCGUGUAGGCGGUACAUUAAGUCAGCUGUUAAAUUCCCGAGCUUAACUCGGGAAAGUCGGCUGAUACUGAUGUGCUAGAGUGCAGAAGAGGCAACUGGAAUUCUCGGUGUAGCGGUGAAAUGCGUAGAUAUCGAGAGGAACACCGGAGGCGAAGGCGAGUUGCUGGUCUGACACUGACGCUGAGACGCGAAAGCUAGGGGAGCAAACAGG